CCUACGGGAGGCUGCAGUGAGGAAUAUUGGUCAAUGGACGAGAGUCUGAACCAGCCAAGUAGCGUGAAGGAUGACUGCCCUAUGGGUUGUAAACUUCUUUUAUAAAGGAAUAAAACGAGGCACGUGUGCCUUUUUGCAUGUACUUUAUGAAUAAGGAUCGGCUAACUCCGUGCCAGCAGCCGCGGUAAUACGGAGGAUCCGAGCGUUAUCCGGAUUUAUUGGGUUUAAAGGGAGCGUAGAUGGGUUGUUAAGUCAGUUGUGAAAGUUUGCGGCUCAACCGGAAAAUUGCAAUUGAUACUGGCAGUCUUGAGUACAGUUGAGGGAGGCGGAAUUCGUGGUGUAGCGGUGAAAUGCUUAGAGAUCACGAAGAACCCCGAUUGCGAAGGCAGCUUACUAAACUGUGACUGACAUUGAUGCUCGAAAGUGUGGGUAGCAAACAGGAUUAGAUACCCGUGUAGUC
rnacentral:rRNA from 1 species